CCAAAACUCUCAGCUGCUGUGUACAAUAAUGUAUACAGCAGCAAAAAUUAAAAACCUCCAUCAGAAAGUGUGUGUUCCCUAAUGAACACACACUUUCUGAUGUUCUGUGACCUACCAGCUGAAACCCCCCUUUUCUCCACCCAACUUUACACCACUCUCUUAGCAUGGGUGGCUGUAAGUACACUAGGGCAAACAUAAGAUUCCUUUCCUUUGGGUAUGUUUUGUUUCAUUUUAUUUUAUUUUUUCAGUUGUAUCCUACAUCUUUGGCCUGACCUCCAUUAGUGAUGUCCAAACUAGCUCAAUGUUAACUGAAAAAAUUAUCAAACUGUCAACCAAAAGUAAACACAUCACCUGUAGGUACAGUAGAGUAAAGCUAAGUUUCCUUUUGUUUGGGUAAUUUUUUUUUCUUCUUCAGUUGUCUCUGCCAUCUUUGACCUGACCAUUAGUGCUGUCCUGACUAGCUCACUGUGAGCAGAAAAAAAUUAUCAAACCGUCAACCAGAAGUAAACACAUCACUUUGGACAACUCAAAGACACAGUCUACUUGCUGUUUAACCCAGUCUUUGGUCGGAGGUGAAGAAGAGAUGACAUCCUCCACACCAUCCCCCUGCUGCUCUCAACAACCAUCAUCGCUGUGCUGGACAGACUGCAGCACCCACCAGGACCGUUCUCUCAUGGACUACACAAACAUGUGUUUUACCUGCUCGUGCUCCAGAUGUCCUGAAGCAGCUCUCAAGGACCACCAGACACCAGGCUGAAGCAGAACUGAUGCUGUAGUACCUGUCACUCACUUGGCUCGUUCCUGCUGAACCUCCAAGAGAUAAACCCCUCUUCAAGAAAGUCUGAGGUAAUGUCUUAGUGAACUUGUGUUCAUUUAUUUUUUCUUAGUUAUCUUAGCUGCUGUAUUAAUGCUUGUGAUGCUAUUGUACAGCUCUGCUGAUAUCAUCGUCUUUAACAGCAGUGUUUUCUCCCAGGUCUUCUUCAAGCCAGAUAAGAGAGGAAGAACAGCUUAGACACUCAGGCAGCUGAACGCACCAAAGGUGGACAUCAUGCAGCCACCCUGAGCCUUGAGCCUCUCUGUGUGAGGAAGCUUUGCUGCUGCAGACCUGGUGAAGUUGCUCUGGACAGAAAUAUUUUUUGCUCUGCUGCAGUGCUGAAGGUAUUCAUUGUAAUGAUGUGUGUAUUUAUUCAACAUGUUUAGUUUCACAGAUUAUCAACACAAAUGUUUCUGUUUAUUUCCUGUUUUGAACCAGCUACAUUCUCCUACUUCAAGUCACUGUCUGUUCAUCCACGGUGUAGCCAGUGCAGCUCAGCAGAGUCCUACUAAUGGUGAUCCUUCAAGUCCUGCAGCCCUAUGAAGCAAGCUGCAGCAGAUGUCAACACAUUCAGAUCAUCAGUUUAUCUUUACUGCAGCUUUAAACUUUUCACGAGGUAACGGUGUAUUUCCUUGCCCCAUAACAAAAACCAUGUUUGACCAACAUAGGAAAGCACAGAAUUAAUGUUAGCACAGGAUUACAGAGUUAAAGUGAAGGGGAUUUUGUUUGUUUUUUUCAGACCUCUCCUCCUCCUGCCUCUGACUCCAGUGAUGCUGUCAACUCGAACACUGAUAACUGCACACGGCGAUCCUACAACCACAGGUCAAAGGUCAAAACAAUACCUCACUCUAAACCUUCACUCUGAACUGUACAAGGCUCUGCUUUUGGUUUUGAAAAAAAGUGCCCAGACAGAACACAGUACUCACUUGAGGAACUGACUGAUUGUCUUCAGGACAGGACAACUAUUACUCUUAUAUUGUUUUGAAUCCUGUUUUCUACAUUAAGUGAUCGGUUGUCGAUAUCUGUUAAUAUUUUAAGUUUCCUUUAUGUUUCUUGGACUUUAUUUGUUCUAUUUUAUUUGAGUAUUUUCUUCCCCUUUUACUGUGUAUCUGUCCUUAUAUCAAAAGAUGACCAACACUGAUGAAGGGAAAAAAUACCAGUUACUUCAGUUGUUGCAGGCAGCUGAAUUUCUCGCUUUAAUAUGCUCACCAUAUCCCUCAAAUUUACCUACAA